CAACGAGUCGCAAGACCGCGAGGUUUAGCAAAUCUCUUAAAGCCGUUCUCAGUUCGGAUUGUAGGCUGCAACUCGCCUACAUGAAGUCGGAAUCGCUAGUAAUCGCGGAUCAGCAUGCCGCGGUGAAUACGUUCCCGGGCCUUGUACACACCGCCCGUCACACCAUGAGAGUUUGUAACACCCAAAGCCGGUGGGGUAACCUUUUGGAGCCAGCCGUCUAAGGUGGGACAGAUGAUUGGGGUGAAGUCGUAACAAGGUAAC
rnacentral:rRNA from 1 species